GUUAGGAAUAUUGGACAAUGGGCGCAAGCCUGAUCCAGCCAUGCCGCGUGAACGAUGAAGGCCUUCGGGUUGUAAAGUUCUUUAGCCGAUGAUUAUAAUGACUGUAGUCGGAAAAUAAGCCCCGGCUAACUUCGUGCCAGCAGCCGCGGUAAUACGAAGGGGGCGAGCGUUAUUCGGAAUCACUGGGCGUAAAGCGUGCGUAGGCGGUCUCGUAAGUUAGGAGUGAAAGCCCAGGGCUCAACCUUGGAAUUGCUCUUAAAACUGCAAGGCUAGAAUCUCGGAGAGGAUAGCGGAAUUUCCAGUGUAGCAGUGAAAUGCGUAGAUAUUGGAAGGAACACCAGUGGCGUAAGCGGCUAUCUGGACGAGUAUUGACGCUGAGGCACGAAAGCGUGGGGAUCAAACAGGAUUAGAUACCUCGGUAGUCC
rnacentral:rRNA from 1 species